UUAGAUCUUGGGGGGGGUGAUAGAUAACUCCACUCCCUCUCUGGGCCUCCCUUUUUCCCUUCUCUGCUAUGCUAGGUCCAGGGGCAAGGUCUGUGGCCCCCAGGGUUCUUGACACCCACCCACACCCGUUCCAUGCCAUGACAGCUGAGCCAUGGGGGAAGGGAGCUGUCUCUCACCUGCCCCUCAGAGUAAGCUCCUCAGCAGCCUCAGGCCAGGCCCAGAACCUCCUGUGCUCUUGUGUCCUCCUGAAUAGGUCUCCUUACCAGGUCUUGCAGAACUGCCUGCUAACUGGUGGCCCAGCCAGGCAAGCUGACUUGAGGGUGCACACACGUGACGGGGAGGCAGUCAUGGUCUUUUGCUAAGGUUAUACCUCUUGCCCACACUCACCCAAAUAAAGAGAACAUAGAGUUACGCCAAGUUUGGGUGAGAUUUGCCCCUUCCCCAGCUGUUUUUGCUGCUUCCCAGUGCCUGGGCCAAAAGUCCACCCCUGGGGCUGAGGCUGGGGACAGAUGGGACCUUGCCUAUAGUAAGAGCCCCUUUCUGUCCCCCCACCCCCAGAGUUUUACAAAGAAUUGGCCUGGGUCCCUGAGGCACAGAGGAAACACACAGCCAAGAAAGCACCAGACGGCACUGUCAUCCCCAAUGGCUACUGUGACUUUUGCCUGGGGGGCUCCAAGAAGACUGGGUGUCCCGAGGACCUCAUCUCCUGUGCAGAUUGUGGGCGAUCAGGGCAUCCCUCGUGUUUACAGUUCACGGUGAACAUGACCGCAGCGGUGCGGACUUACCGUUGGCAGUGCAUUGAAUGCAAGUCUUGCAGUCUGUGUGGCACCUCGGAGAAC